rnacentral:misc_RNA from 1 species
UUCUACAGAAUCGCCGCUUUAUCCGGAUCCCACACUUUACCAGAAAAACCCACCAAUUACUUCACGGAUUCGGACGGAACCUAUGGCGGGGGGGAUGACGGGAUAUCCAGUGCAGGAUCUGAGGUUCAUGAUGAAGAGAGACUUGAACACCGUGUUCACAAAAUCGAAGACAACCUGUGUUCAAAGGAGCCCUACUUAGCACAACUUUUUGGAACAGAUAGUUUAUCAAAAGACCAGGAAAAUCAAAUCAGGUCGCAUCUAGAACUAGAGAUUUUCCGCCAGCUACAGAUUCAAAGACAAAUAGGGGAAGAAAACGAAACCAUUGGUGCAGACCCAAACACGAGGGAGCAAGAAACCUCACCACAAACAGAGCCAAAACCAGGAACAAAUAAUCCUGGCAAAUUAGAAAUAGAGGAGGCUAGUAAUUCUAAUCUUAGGGACAAAGAGACGUGUCCAUCGAGCCCUGAUUCACCAGAGUCGGUGAAAAACUCAACAGAGAAGACGAAGAAACCAACGGUAGGGGAAGCAUCACCUGAACUAUGUCAACCCAAUGCAAAACCAGUUAUCAAAGCUCAAAAAUGUAUGAAAAAACCCGAGUUGCCCGCAAAACCAACUUUCAUAAACCCCGGAACAUCUCGAGGAGGACCAUUACAUGAAAUUCAUAAGCCGCAAAUAAUCAGUAGUCCUACACUACGUCAGCUAAAGGCAGAUAAGUUUGGCAUUCGUGGAGAAAAAGGCGGGGCCAAAGGUGAAAGUAACAGCGGAAGUAGUAUUACUGAAUCAAGUUCCGGUUCUGAACAAGACGCUCUACAUGGCCACGUGACAGCAAUGGGGAAACGGAACUUGCGUAAAACAAAGUCACGUGGCAAAGGAAAGGGACCAGUUAAUUUAUCUUCAGUUUUGUUAGACGAAAUUGAAAGUGAACUUCAGCAAAGAGAAUGUGCAAGUGUAACUGACGAUAAGUUCGUUAUUCUUGAACAAGAAGUGUUGGAAGACAUUGAUGAUGAAAAUUUAAAUGCAUAAGAUGCGUCUAAAUUUCUAGAGUUUCUAUUACAAUUGUACUAGGUUUUUAUAAUAAAAGUUUUGUGAGAG